AGUAAGAUCCCAUGUAGACGACAUGGUAGAUAGGCCAGGUGUGGAAGAGCCGUGAGGUUUGGAGCUGACUGGUACUAAUCGAUCGAGGGCUUUACUUA
rnacentral:rRNA from 1 species